UGACCACAGUAUCAUGAUAUGUAUCGUAUCGUGACCACAGUAUCUUGAUACGUAUCGUACAUGUUACAUGUUACAGUAUGGUUGCAGACCUAGCUAGUAUAUACAUUCUUCAGUGUUCUCAUUCAGUGUAACAAAAUGCCUAAAUAAUCCAUCAAAUCUCAUUCAAAAGAAGGUCACCAUGGUUAAGAAAGAGAAUCUUUUUCUAAUUUCACAUAACACACAUCUGCUUUGUAGUUAGUUUGCAUUUUCUUAAGUGACGUCAUAGAGGGAAAGAGUAAGCAAGAAAUUGAAAAGGAAUUGAAUCAAAAUUCAUGACAUACUUUGCUCUUUGGCUUGCUCAUGUGUGAACCUAUCAUGCUUGAUGAUGUGCUUUUUUUCUCAUGAUGUUAAAUUGAAAAGAAAUAAAAAAAAAAGAAUUGAUAAGACGAAAUAUUUUGCCUUCUGACUUGGUGGUUUUGUCCGAAAGAUGAUUUUCUGUUUGCUAUUUGAUCGAUGUGUUUUGAUUGUUUUGAGAACUUGAAAAGUGAAAAAAGAUUUCAUGGAUGACAGACUUUUAAGGACCGGUUCGUUUAUGAACAGGACUUGAUGAAAUAUUUUGAUCUGUACAAUUUCAUUGUUUGUGACAAGACCUAAUUCAAGGCAAAUUUGUAAUUUGUCAUUGACAUUAUAAUGAAACAAACAAGUUUAGGAAAGUUUUAAUUAAUAUAAUAAACAACAAAAUUACAAACAAUAGGUUGUGAUUUACUGUCGAGAAGAGUCAGAAACACAAAUCAAUUUGGUUACAAAUUACAGUCAGUAUCUUACCAGUGAUAAACUCGGGAGGACUGAACAAACAAAUGGGUCGAAAGUAAGGGAUGGGUAGUAAGUAGUCCAAUAUAUCCCUCGGAUAAAUUAGAAAUAUUUUCUUAAUAAACAUGGUAAUUUGAAAACAAAUAUUUUGAAAAAUCAAUAAAUGUAUUUAAAAAGGUAAAAGCUAUUUAUGUAAAAGAUUUUCUGACAUCUAAAUUUCAUUGCAAAUUAUAUUUUCUGAAAUAGUAAUUUGAUUCGGUUUUUUGGCACGCCAUUCAAACAAAACAAUCUAUUUUUAUAGAUUUAAAAGUUAAAACCUUAAAAAGCUUUUAGAUUGCUUCAUGAUUCUGUGAGUCUGAAUGUGUGACAUGGGGUUUCCAAUGGCCAGAAGAUGGAGACGAGAAAUGCCUGUUGACGACUUCCACCUGUUGACGACUUCACCUGUUGACGACAUGCACACACCUGGCGGUGUAUAGACAGACAGGUGAACGCGAAGCCCAGUACAGCAGACAGGUGACAUCAGAACAUGUAUCGCUCAUACAACCUCAGUCAUUAUCCGCUAACAACAUUGGUUGUUAAAUGACUACCAAAAUAUUUUGGUGACUUUCUUGUGCAUGACGACUAUUUAUGUAUUUUCAAAUCAUUUUUUCAGUAGGUUAUUGUAAUGCAGGAUAGUAUUGAUAUAAAUUAUCAUUCCAGUGUUAUUUCUAUUCAAAGAAAAUAUUAAUAUCUUAAUUAUUGAAAUGAAGUUUGAAUGAAUUUCUAUCAAGAAGAAAGUAAGUCUGAUUUUAAUUCAAAUUAAAAUCAAAUUGAAAGAAAAAUUGGAUUUCUGAAAAAUGCUUCAGUAUUCUUUUGAUCUGAUUUGGUUAUUGAGAGAGUGUAUAAAAAAUACCAAAAAUUCUCAAAUUUCAUAUUUAGGUCCCACUUGGAAAUUGGCAGGAUAAAUAAUUUUAAAAAUGCCUUUUCCUGCUUCCAUUUCUAUCAUGAUUAUGCACAAUUAUUAAGGUUUUCCUUUUGGUAUUGAUGUUUUCAGCUUAUCAUUAGUAAAGAUUAUUCUUCAAAUUGUCGCUAUUUAGUACAUGGAUUUGGAAAUUUAAUUUAAUAUAAUGUUAAAAUGAAUAUUUAAAAAAAAGAGACAAAAUCCUUGUAAAGAAAGACACUGAUUGUUUUCUUACAUAUUUUAGGGAACCACAGACUUCAAGAAAAAAAGAAUUGAUAGCCAUGAAAACAUGGUGAUCUUACUUCUUGAAGGAUGGCAUUCCCAUGGUAACUCAGUGGUUGAAUGAUGACGUUCCCAUGGUAACUCAGUGGUUGAAGGAUGUUCCCAUGGUAACUUGGUGGUUGAAGGAUGUUCCGAUGGUAACUUGGUGGUUUCAUUGCUGACUGAGUGAUUGAAGGAUGACAUUGCCAUGGUAACCUGGUGGUUGAAGGAUGUUCCCAAUGGUAACUUGGUGGUUGAAGGAUGUUCCCAUGGUAACUUGGUGGUUGAAGGAUGUUCCGAUGGUAACUUGGUGGUUUCACUGCUGAUUGAGUGAUUGAAGGAUGACAUUGCCAUGGUAACUCAAUGGUUGAAGGAUGUUCCCAUGGUAACUUGGUGGUUUCACGGCUGACUCAGUGAUUGAAGGAUGACAUUCCCAUGGUAACUUGGUGGUUUCACGGCUGACUCAGUAAUUCAAGGAUGAUGUUCCCAUGGUAACUUGGUGGUUUCACGGCUGACUCAGUGAUUAAAGGAAGAUGUUCCCAUGGUAACUUGGUGGUUUCACAGCUGACUCAGUGAUUGAAGGAUGACGUUCCCAUGGUAACUUGGUGGUUUCACGGCUGACUCAGUGAUUGAAGGAUGAUGUUCCCAUCGCAACUUGGCGGUUUCACGGCUGACUCAGUGAUUGAAGGAUGAUGUUCCCAUGGUAACUUGGUGGUUUCACGGCUGACUCCGUGAUUGAAGGAUGAUGUUUCCAUGGAGUUGCUAUGGUGUUGAUCAUCAAAGAAGCUGCAUGUCAUCAAUGCUGAUGUAUUCACAGACUACAAAAUGAGGAAAAGUAACAACGAUGCCUCUCACUACCAGGAUUGUGCUGUCAACUUGAUUGUGAAAUCAAGUCCAUGUGAAAAUUUAGGACUAGCUAAAAGGUCUUAUGCUAAACCCAGCGCCAUAUUGACGGACAGUUCAAGUCUUCUCCAACACUCACACAGAUUUCUCCAGUCUGCUUGUGUUUUCAGCUUGUCACGUGUGUAGAAAAAUUAAUCCAUCAGACUUCUGAUCUCCUGAUGUAUAAUGAUCAACACAGUACAGGCCCCUGAGCUGUCUGGUUAAGUAAUAAUCAAUACAGUACAGGCACCUGUCUGGUUAAGUAAUAAUCAACACAGUAAAGGCCCCUAAGCUGUCUGGUUAAGUAAUAAUCAACACAGUACAGGCCCCUAAGCUGUCUGGUUAAGUAAUAAUCAACACAGUACAGGCCCCUCUCUGGUUAAGUAAUAAUCAAAACAGUACAGGCCCCUGUCUGGUUAAGUAAUAAUCAACACAGUACAGGCCCCUGUCUGGUUAUAAGUAAUAAUCAACACAGAACAGGCCCCUGUCUGGUUAAGUAAUAAUCAAUACAGUACAGGCCCCUGUCUGGUUAUAAGUAAUAAUCAACACAGUACAGGCCCCUGGUUGGUUAAGUAAUAAUCAACACAGUACAGGCCCCUGUCUGGUUAAGUAAUAAUCAGUACAGUACAGGCCCCUGUCUGGUUAAGUAAUAAUCAACGCAUCUUGUUAUCUUUUGUAUAGAAGUAAUGAUCAGCAUACAAUGUCACCUGUCGAAGGUACCAGAUCAUGAAA